CACUAUGCUUAGCCCUAAACCUAGAUAGUUAACCUAAACAAAAUUAUCCGCCAGAGAACUACUAGCAACAGCUUAAAACUCAAAGGACUUGGCGGUGCUUUACAUCCCUCUAGAGGAGCCUGUUCUAUAAUCGAUAAACCCCGAUACACCUCACCAUCUCUUGCUAAUUCAGCCUAUAUACCGCCAUCUUCAGCAAACCCUAAAAAGGAAUAAAAGUAAGCACAAGUAUCUUAACACAAAAAAGUUAGGUCAAGGUGUAGCCCAUGAGAUGGGAAGUAAUGGGCUACAUUUUCUAAAACUAGAACAUCCACGAAAAUCCUUAUGAAACUAAGUAUUAAAGGAGGAUUUAGUAGUAAAUUUGAGAAUAGAGAGCUCAAUUGAAUCGGGCCAUGAAGCACGC
rnacentral:rRNA from 1 species